AACGAAGGCUUCGGCUUAGUGGCGCACGGGUGCGUAACGCGUGGGAAUCUGCCCUUGGGUUCGGAAUAACAGUUAGAAAUGACUGCUAAUACCGGAUGAUGACGAAAGUCCAAAGAUUUAUCGCCCAGGGAUGAGCCCGCGUAGGAUUAGGUAGUUGGUGGGGUAAAGGCCUACCAAGCCGACGAUCCUUAGCUGGUCUGAGAGGAUGAUCAGCCACACUGGGACUGAGACACGGCCCAGACUCCUACGGGAGGCAGCAGUGGGGAAUAUUGGACAAUGGGCGAAAGCCUGAUCCAGCAAUGCCGCGUGAGUGAUGAAGGCCUUAGGGUCGUAAAGCUCUUUUACCAGGGAUGAUAAUGACAGUACCUGGAGAAUAAGCUCCGGCUAACUCCGUGCCAGCAGCCGCGGUAAUACGGAGGGAGCUAGCGUUGUUCGGA
rnacentral:rRNA from 1 species